rnacentral:rRNA from 1 species
UACGUAGGGCGCAAGCGUUGUCCGGAAUUAUUGGGCGUAAAGAGCUCGUAGGCGGUUUGUCGCGUCUGCUGUGAAAACCUAAGGCUCAACCUUGGGCUUGCAGUGGGUACGGGCAGACUAGAGUGCGGUAGGGGUGACUGGAAUUCCUGGUGUAGCGGUGGAAUGCGCAGAUAUCAGGAGGAACACCGAUGGCGGAAGGCAGGUCACUGGGCCGCAACUGACGCUGGAGGAG